GAUGAACGCUGGCGGCGUGCCUAAUACAUGCAAGUCGAGCGAACAGACGAGGAGCUUGCUCCUCUGACGUUAGCGGCGGACGGGUGAGUAACACGUGGAUAACCUACCUAUAAGACUUGGAUAACUUCGGGAAACCGGAGCUACUACCGGAUAAUAUAUUGAACCGCAUGGUUCAAUAGUGAAAGACGGUUUUGCUGUCACUUAUAGAUGGAUCCGCGCCGCAUUAGCUAGUUGGUAAGGUAACGGCUUACCAAGGCGACGAUGCGUAGCCGACCUGAGAGGAUGAUCGGCCACACUGGAACUGAGACACGGUCCAGACUCCUACGGGAGGCAGCAGUAGGGAAUAUUCCGCAAUGGGCGAAAGCCUGACGGAGCAACGCCGCGUGAGUGAUGAAGGUCUUCGGAUCGUAAAACUCUGUUAUUAGGGAAGAACAAAUGUGGAAGUAACUAUGCACGUCUUGACGGUACCUAAUCAGAAAGCCACGGCUAACUACGUG
rnacentral:rRNA from 1 species